rnacentral:lncRNA from 1 species
CUGCCAAAAAUAUAUUCACCACAAUGCAGAAAUUAUAGAGGUUUAAAACCUAGGUAUAAUUAUUAUGUUCUAGCAUAGGUUCAGGCCUCAGAGAAAACCAGAACAAUCAGGAGGAUCUGGCAAGGCUUCCUACAGGCAAAAUUACAUUAAAGUGACCAAAAAAUCAGUUAUAAAUAUUACGAUCUUGUGCGUCCCUCCCGAAGCUGCGCGCUCGGUCGAAGAGGACGACCUUCCCCAAAGGAAGGAAGGAAGGAAGGAAGGAAGGAAGGAAGGAAGGAAGGAAGGAAGACAGAGAUAGAGAAAGAGAAAGAGAGAAAGAAAGAAAAGAAUCCAUAACUGCUAAGAGCUUAAAUUCUAAUUGAAAAUA